CGAGCGGAGACCGGGAGAGAGGCGCUGACGGGCUGCGGUCGUGUGCUGAUCAUGGCGGAGACCGUUCGCUCGCCGUUCGACUACCGGGAGCCACCGACCCUGGACAGCGAUGGAGAGGGCAGCAAGCCGCCACCAGCCCGCGGACGGGGCUGUGGUCGGAAGAGGAAAGGGACGCCGGUGAAAGUGUGCGAUCGCAUCUUUGCCACAGAGGAGGAGGAAGAGAGCACAUCGGAGAACAGCUUUUGUCCUGGUCCGUACCAGGGAGAAGAGGUAGAAAGGCACAAACCGCAGACUUCUGAUGGACAGUACUACAUAGCAGGCUCUGCACAGCCCUGUGUGUCAGAAGUAGGGGAGGAGGGGGGCAGCGGUACACGGGCAGCCGUACUCUACCCACCCCCACCCAACUGCCGCAUCCGAGAGGUGCAUUGUGGGAACCAAGUGCGGCUGGUCGUCAUAGCGAUCCGCGACAUCACUAAGGGAGAGGAGAUAACAGUGGACUACAGUCUGACAGAGUGGGGAGAGAAUGCCAUGGGUUUCCAUGGCACCAUGCCUCCAUCAGGUUUCGAAUGUAACUCUGACCCUGAGAACAACAUCAAGAAGGAGGACGAUGCCAGACCAGUUCCUGUUUCUAAUGUUUCUGACUACCUCACCCCUUCCUGGUCCAUCUCCCCCUCUUCCUCACCGUUCUCUCGCUCUGAGCCCAGCGACUCUGAAUGUGAGGAGGAGGAAGAUGACAAAGAGGGUCUGGGGCCAAGAGGUCGUGCUCCCCGUCGUCGCAAUAAGCGCAAACACCCCUCUUCCACCUCCACCUCCCCCGCUACUUCCUCCACCAAGAAGAAAACCCCCCCGAAGCCUCCAGGCCGACCGCCAUGCGCAUCCACCAUCCCUCGAUCGCUCCCUUGCUCUCAUCCUCCUCAUCCUCCUCAUCCUCCUCACCCAUCUCGGCCGCUGUUCAAACCUCCUCCACCAGCCACUGGGGCCAACAGCAGCAGCGGGCCUGUACAUAUUCGAAUUCCCACUCCGCACAAACAGUGCUGCGUCUACUGCGGCCGCCACUUCCGCUCGCUGCAGCGCCACCUGGAAAAGCACCACAGCCACCUGCCUGACGCGCGAAGCGUCACAGAGCGGACCCACCCCCAGCCACAGCCCUCGGCCCACCCCCUACACCUGCACGCCUCCCUCCCUUCCUCCUCCUGCUCCUCCUCUCUUCCAAAGGAUGCCUCCUCGCAAGGUGGGGGAGCAGCGUUGCCUCCCCCCACCUCUGCUCACGGCCCCACCCAUUCUUGCCCAGCCAGAAGGAGCCCUGCCCUUUCGACCCCUCCCCGAAGGAGCCUGGCCCCUCCCGUGACCACUCCACCCAGAAGGGGUGGAGUCCCAGUGUCUGUGCUGAAGAGGAGUCCACCCACACAGGUGGUAACCCCGCCUAGAAAACCAGGCCGCAAGGUUAAGAAGGAGAGAGACGAGGAGGUGGAGGAGAUCGUGAAAAAGCCCAAGGAGGAAGAGCUGCCCGUUUAUAUAGAGCGAGUGAAAGAGGCAGAGCAGAAUCAGCAGCGACAACCACAUCCGUCUGCAGGUGGGGAGGAGGAUGAGAACAGAGCAGGCGAUGAAGACAGUGGUGCCGAAGAUAAAAAGGAUCUGAUGAGUUCCCGGCGGCCACACAUGCUCCCGCUACUCUCGUCUCUGUCUUCGCUGGUGCUGUACCUGCGCCGCCUGCAGCACUCGGCCUUCAUUUCCCUCUCACGCUCCCCUCAGUCGGCCGAGGCCUGGCGCCUGCUGUGCCACUCCAGCCUGGCUCUGCUUAUCCUCUACAAUCGUCGGCGUGAAUGUGAGGUCUCCAAGCUCACCAUAUCUGAGUACCAGGCCCGGGUCACUCCUCAGUGCCCCAUUCCAGUGCCACCCGGAGCCCCUCCUGCCCUGACACCGCUGGAGGCCUCCCUCUCACCCUUCGAGCGACUGGUCCUGCCCCACCUCCCUCGGGUGGGUGUGCAGGGUAAACGUGGCCGCGUUCAGCCUCUCAUCCUGCCUCCCCACUCAGAAGCUUGUCUCGAACUCCUCCUUCAAACACGACCAGGGGUGGGUGUGGACCCACAGAACCCAUAUAUCUUCGCUCGGCCGUACCAUUCGCCUGCCACCCCUCUGAGGGGGACGGAUUUGUUAAGAAGUCUGGCGAGGUCCAGCGGCACCCGUAACCCUCGUGCCUUGACCCAGACCUGUGUGCGGAGGCAGGUGGCCAUUCUGACCCAGUUGCUCCUGCUUGGGGAGGGUGAGGAGGAUGGCCAGCGAGGAGCAGCCAUCCAGAGGCUGGAGAGCUUCCUACAGAGGGAGUACCAUGUGACCCAAAGCUGCUCUGGCAUUGGGCAGGACCCUGGGUUGAUGGGCCUGAUUGGACGGGUAGUGUUGUGUGGUGAGCGAGAUGGUGUACUGUUCCGUGGCAUGAGCCUUCACCACAUCUGCUUGGAGCUAGAUGUCAUGUCUGGGAACUCUGCGGAUUCAUUCUCUGAAGAUUCGGAUGGAGAACAGGUGAAGGAUAAGACUGUAUCUGUAACCCCAGCUGCCAUGAUCAUGAUGAAGAAGACCACAGCUAAUAGCAAGUCUCCAAGACCAAAGAAGAUGAAUGGCACCUCAACAUUUCCCCCCUCUGGCCGCAAGAGGGCCUCUGGCCAGCCAAAGCCAGGUAAGCGUGGUGUUCUGAAAAGGCCAUGGUCAGAGGCAGAGCGGGCAGCGGUAGAGUCCCACCUGACCAGGAACAUCGCCGAGCUGCGCGUCCCCGCCAAGGCAGACUGCGAGCGUUGCCUUCAGCUCUGCCCGCUGCUGGUUAGCAACCGCCGUGACUGGAGGGCCAUCAAGUUCUACUGCCACAACCGGAUCCAGCUGCUCAAAAAGGCCCGACAGAGAGAAAGCAACUCUCAGCCACUGUCUGUCUGCUGAUUGAGGAAGACAGGGAAAGGGAGGUGGUGUGAUGCCAGCUUAAAGCAAGUCUUUCACCUUUAUUUUAAGGUUAGAAAAUAAAGCCCAGAAUGGUACUUUGGAGCA
ensembl:lncRNA uncharacterized LOC114788571